CCGUGUCAUAAGCCAUAUAGGAGCAUCUAAUGUUAAUCUAGUCAACUGAAUUUUCUCUUUUCAGACAUGAUGCCCAUAUGCAAUCUUCAAAGUGCUAUGAGCUAACUUGGCAUAAAAUAUCACGUAUUUUUUUUAAUGUUCUUUUGGUUAGUUGGUGGAAGAGUCAAACAAUGAAUGCAGGAGCCAAAUAGAAGAAUUACAUUCCUCAGUGCCAGAAAGUAUUGUGAUUAAUGAAAAUGUGGCCACUAAAGAUGGUGAGCAUGAUGAGUCACAUAAAGAAGAUGAUCUGAACACAGAAACUCAAAA